GACGAACGCUGGCGGCGUGCUUAACACAUGCAAGUCGAACGGAAAGGCCUCUUUCGGGGGGUACUCGAGUGGCGAACGGGUGAGUAACACGUGAGUAACCUGCCCUUGACUUUGGGAUAACUUCAGGAAACUGGGGCUAAUACCGGAUAGGAGCUCCUGCUGCCUGGUGGGGGUUGGAAAGUUUCGGCGGUUGGGGAUGGACUCGCGGCUUAUCAGCUUGUUGGUGGGGUAGUGGCUUACCAAGGCUUUGACGGGUAGCCGGCCUGAGAGGGUGACCGGCCACAUUGGGACUGAGAUACGGCCCAGACUCCUACGGGAGGCAGCAGUGGGGAAUAUUGCACAAUGGGUGGAAGCCUGAUGCAGCAACGCCGUGUGCGGGAUGACGGCCUUCGGGUUGUAAACCGCUUUCGCUCAUGACGAAGCUUUGUGUGACGGUAGUGGGUAAAGAAGCACCGGCUAACUACGUG
rnacentral:rRNA from 1 species